rnacentral:rRNA from 1 species
CCUACGGGGUGCUGCAGUGGGGAAUAUUGCACAAUGGGGGGAACCCUGAUGCAGCGACGCCGCGUGAGCGAGGAAGUAUUUCGGUAUGUAAAGCUCUAUCAGCAGGGACGAAAAAAGACGGUACCUGACUCAGAUGCCCCGGCUCACUACGUGCCAGCAGCCGCGGUAAUACGUAGGGGGCAAGCGUUUUCCGGAUUUACUGGGUGUAAAGGGAGAGUAGGCGGGAAGGCAAGCCAGGAGUGAAAGGGCAGGGCUCAACCCUGUACAUGCUUUUGAAACUGUGGUGCUAGAGUGCGGGAGAGGUAAGUGGAAUUCCUGGUGUAGCGGUGAAAUGCGUAGAUAUUAGGAGGAACACCAGUGGCGAAGGCGGCUUGCUGGACUGUAACUGACGUUGAGGCUCGAAAGCGUGGGGAGCAAACAGGAUUAGAUACCCGGGUAGUC